GACGAACGCUGGCGGCGUGCUUAACACAUGCAAGUCGAACGGAAAGGCCCUGCUUUUGUGGGGUGCUCGAGUGGCGAACGGGUGAGUAACACGUGAGUAACCUGCCCUUGACUUUGGGAUAACUUCAGGAAACUGGGGCUAAUACCGGAUAGGAGCUCCUGCUGCAUGGUGGGGGUUGGAAAGUUUCGGCGGUUAGGGAUGGACUCGCGGCUUAUCAGCUUGUUGGUGGGGUAGUGGCUUACCAAGGCUUUGACGGGUAGCCGGCCUGAGAGGGUGACCGGCCACAUUGGGCGUGGGAUACGGCCCAGACACAUACGGGAGGCAGCAGUAGAGAAUAUUGCACAAUGGGCGGAAGCCUGGUGCAGCAACUCAGCGUGCGGGAUAACGGCUUUCGGGUAGUAAACCACUUUCGCCUGUGACGAAGCGUGAGUGACGGUAAUGGGUAAAGAAGCCCCGGCUAACUACGUG
rnacentral:rRNA from 1 species